rnacentral:piRNA from 1 species
UUCGAUACCGCUAAAACUUUGGCCAUUGC